GCUGAGGUGCGGGGCGCGAUUCCCGGCGUGCCCCGCGCGUACCGGCUCCCGGCGUGCCCCGCGCCCGGAAUGGCCUCCGGUAGCGCCGGCCCGGCCCCAUCCUAUCCCGGCCUCAUCCCGUCCCGGUCCCCGCAGGCGCUGCGGUUCCUCUGAGCGCUCGCUGUCGCGCCUCCCGCGCUCUGGCUGCCCGUCAGCCCGCCGUCCCCUCACACCUCUCGCCACUGAUACCGCAGAUCUUCGUCUGUAUCUGAACGAAGGGUGAAAACAUGUUAACGUUCAAAGCAGCGCCACAGAUGUCAGUGAAGAGAGUGAGGUGCUGGCAGGGCCAGGAGGGGAAGGGCCUCGUGGAGAAGAUUGCACGUCGGCUGUCGUGCGAUGGCACAGCAGGGCCGUGCUGACCUCCCUGUGAGGCUGCUGAGGAGAGGCCUGCGCUGAGCCCGCCGCUGCUUUCUGUGGGCUGUGUUACCGCGCUGGCAGGAGCACGGCCAUGGCGUGUCCUGGCCUGUGUGGAAUCUGCUCCUGAGACAGCGAUAUUUUCAGUGCAGCAGUAAGCUGUCAAAGACUGCCUUGCUUCUUCUCCAGAACGAUCGUAAACUUUACAACUGAAAUUACUGGGAAGCUGAUGGGGAUUUGUAAUGCAUAUGCUAAGAUUGUUUAGCGAGCGUGUCAGCUUUAGGCAUUACUAAUGAAAAACAUUUGAAAAUGGAACCUUAGCAGGCUGCUUCUUAGAAACAGAGAAGCCCAAACAAUGCUCACGGGGAACGCAGAGCUCCGUUCCCAGCUCACACCAUGGCUGGGCCGUGCUGCCUGCUGAGCAACGCGCGCUGAGGGCGCAGCCCACUGAAGGUGUGCUGUGUGUCAACUGCCUUCAUGUGAGGUUUCACGCUGGAACACAGAUGGUGUGAAAUACAAUAAAGCUGUUUGGAAA